rnacentral:rRNA from 10 species
AUACUCAUUUACAAUGAGCAAGUUCCUAAUUGGAAGUUUUAUUAUAUUACAAUUGCAUUACAUUGCUGUAUGAGAUUACUAUAUCAAGUAAAUCGUACCUUUUGCAUAAUGGUGAUACUAAACUACUAUAAAUAUUUUAACUCCCGAAAAUAAAAGAUCUAAUUUACCAAUAUGAUAUUAGAAAAUUAAGUGCUAUUGUGGCAUAACUAGCAUUAGAUGGAAAAUUAGUAGUGAAACGCUCUCACUUUUAUUGAUAACUGGAUAUAGAAUAAAUAUAUUAAGUAUAAAAACCAUUCUUGGAAGCGAUAAGGUUACAAGAAAUGAAAUUAUCAUGUUGUAAUAUCCAUCACUAUUUAAUAAUAUUAGUUGGUGAUAUAUUUUAUACACAUAAAUUUAUUAACUAAAUUCAUUUAUAUUCUAUUCUACUAUGUAUUUCAUUAGUGUAUUGAUAAUGUAUCAAUUAGUAAAAUUUAUAUUUAAAAUGUUGAUAAGGAACUCGACAAGAUAAAUGUUUACGACUGUUUAACAAAAACAUAGCCAUUAAGAGAUGUUUAUGUGUUAUCUGCCCAGCUGAAAACUUUAACGGACCGGCAGUACCUUGACUGUGCAAAGGUAGCAUAAUCACUUGACUUUUAAUUGGAGCCUGGAAUGAAUGAAAUAACGUAGACAGCUUGUCUCAUUAAUAGUACUCUUAAAUUGCUAUAGGAGUGAAAAUACUCUUUAAUUUAAAAAUAGACGAGAAGACCCUUAGAAUUUUGAAAAUGUAAAAGGUAUUUCUUUUAUAAAUUUUUGUUGGGGGAACAAUAUUUCAUGUAAUAAAUAUUAUAUAGAAUGAUAGGUCGAUUUAAUAAUUAUAGUUAAAUUACCUAAGGGAUAACAGCAUAAUUUUAUUAGAAGCUUGUGACCUCGAUGUUGGACUAGGUACUAUUAAGGCUAAUCGUUUUAAUAUAAUAUGUUCUGUUCGAACUUUACUACCUACAUGAUCUGAGUUCAGACCGGCGUAACGAGGUCAGUUUCUAUCUUUUUAUUUGCUUACAAUAGUACGAAAGGACCCUGUAAGCACUUUUCUAAAGUAUA